AAAAAAUGCUGACUGGGACAGGGGGGUUACAGUUUUAUUUUAAGAUUAGUUUAUGUACUGUGAAAUAACAUGAAUAUUAAUAUUUUUAAUGAUAGGAUUAACUAACAUAAACAGAUUGUUCAUUGUUAGUUCAUGUUAGUUAAUGCAUGUUUUAAUGUAAACCAAAGAGAGCUUAUUAUAAAUUGUUGCCAACACAUUUCAUGAUCUAUAACCAUUUUUAAAAAUAAUUUUAAUGAGCUAUAAACAUUUUUGAAAUGAUUAUAUAAAAUUAUAUUACCAGUAAAAUUCAUUAGCUUUUUAAAAUACGUAUAAUUUUUCUUUGAAAGAUUUUUAUAAAUGAUUUAAAUGCUCUUUACACGUUUCUACAACAAUUAUUUAAAAGUAAUCCUAAAGCGCCAUCUGGUGGUGGCCAUGAUUGGUAUUACACACUGCACGUUUGGUGUUGCUCUCUGAACCGGUCAGAAUGAAGCGCGGCUAAAUGAAGCAACAGAAUACACUGGGCAUAUGUCUACGUAACUCCAGGUUCACACACUCUGUUUGUAAUGCGUAUUUUUUCCGAGCCCAUGUUAAUGGAUCAGAGCGUUCACACUGCACACGGUAAAAGAUGUGAACAGAAAAGGUUAGAAAUAGAAAGGUGCGAAAAGAAUGAAUAUCUAGCGCAUGAGCAUAGAGAGUUGUGAGUGCACAGGACACAGUUUGAGCAGAGGAAACUCGUUUUAAUUGUGCGCACUGAGCGAAAUCAGCAUGUAUCUGAGCACGCGUGUCUGGUUUUAAGCGUGCCAACAAAGAGAUUCGCGCUCGCGCAUUAUUUAAUGUGCUUUCGCGUUACAAUAACUCGCUCUCGCUCCUGCUUCUGUACCGCAUACACAUACUGCAUACGCACUGCAGACAGAGUACGUGUGAACCUGUAUAAUGUAUAACAAAUCUAUUUCAACACCUGAGGCACCGCUACAAUGAGCUCUAUGACCAAUGCAUGGCAAGAAAACAUCCCUAAUAAUUCAGCACUCCUGAAUAUAAGGAGUUUUUCACUUCCAGCCUUCAAGGACAAUUAUAUAUCACUCAUAAAUGAUUAAAUAACAAAUGUAUAGUAUUUAUUAAGAUUGAUGUGAUUUGGAAUAGGUAAAAUGUACUUGGAAAAAAAUAUCACCAGAAUAUCAGUGUGACUAAUUAUUAUGCACUCGGUGAAAAAGCAUUUUUAACAAUUUUAUUGAUCUAUAAGCAUUAUUUAUUAAGAUUGAUGUGAUUUGGAAUAGGUAAAAUGUACUUGGAAAAAAAUAUCACCAGAAUAUCAGUGUGACUAAUUAUUAUGCACUCGGUGAAAAAGCAUUUUUAACAAUUUUAUUGAUCUAUAA
ensembl:lncRNA